AUGCCACCAAUAAAAUAUAUUGUGCAAAUAAAUCUUGCUAUAUGCAUUAUUUGGUAGGUCCAACAGCAGGAAAUCUCUUCAAACCUCUGUGCUGUUUCUGUAUCACUUUUUAUUAAAUACUUCUUGAAGAAUAUUGAAAAAUAUGAGAAAUGUCCCAAUGCUUUCAUUGUCAUGGAACAUAAAUGGUUCAGUAACAAGGAUGCCACAAUGGAAAGAAAUAAAUGGCACAGAACUUUGCACACAUUGUUUACUCUGCAUUGAUCUAAGUUUAUCAACACAAAGGAAUAUUUUAUUGUAUAUUUUUUAAAACUUCUAUAUACAAUGUUUUUAAGGUGAUGCAAUAUUCUGUGGUUGCAAAUUAACCAUUGCUGCACAGAUAGACGCAACAGAAUCAAUAUAUUGUUUCAUUGUUAAUGGGAUUACACCUUGUAAUAUACUAAAUGACUUGAGUCGUUGAAUAAUUCUUUCAAUGUGAAUCCUCUUUGUAGCUACUCUCCUUGUCAUUGUUGUUACACCAGUGCCAACAUUACCUUUAUGCUUAAUU